AACAAAACAAGAAUCUUUUUGGAUUUUUUCAUUUAUAAUUUUCUUUUUCUUUUUCACAUACAAAAUAGGAAAUACGAUAAUAAAAGACUCGACAAACUCAACUAGACUAACAAAAGACUCGACAAACUCAACUAGACUAGGAUAGACUUUGACACCACCUAAAAGAUUCUAUACUAUUGUACAAGACUAGAAAAUAAAAGGCAACAUGAAUGACAAACUCAAAACAUAAAAGUAUCCUCAAGCAACUCAUGAAUGCAGCGGUCCUGACUGGAUGGUCCUGGGGCGUCUGUCAUGCUCAAGCUCCGGCAAAUGUAUCUAUACCUGUAUGAGAAAAAUAAGACCAAAUAGAGUUAAAGACUUAGAACACUAUGUGAUACAAUAACACUUCUUAUUGGACACAUGCAAGACAUAAUUAAGGCAAUUUUUGCAAAAUGACCUAUGUGGCCAAAAGGUGGCUAGAAGUGAAAACUCAAUUAGGACGACCUCUAAAAUAUGGAAGCACAUCACGAAGGCCCAUAACCUCUCAGGAAUCGCGGUCCCUAAAGUUGCUUUGUAAAAUGACCUCACUUUGCAGAAAUGGCCUAUGUGACCGAAAAAUGGCUAAGCAUGAAAAUUCAAUAGGAAUGGACCUUAAACAGAGAGGACACCUUGUGGUAGACUUAACACUCUAAGAUAUGGGUUAACAACCCACUUUUUGCAAAAAUAUCCCUAUUUUGCAAAAAGGCCGAUGUGGCCAAACAUGGCUAGACAUGCAAGAUUUGGCUAAGACCCCGCGAAGCCAAGAACCUAAGACUCACUAGGAAGACCGGAUCCUAUGUGGGCUGCCUACGUAUCCCGCCCUGAAAGACGAGAAUAAGGUAUGCGUAGUUCGGGAAGAUUGGAUAUGGGAGAGAAUUAAAAAAUGAUUCGGAGAAAACAUAUUUUUUGUCUUUUUUUUGAAAAAUGAUGAAACAUGUAAAAUCUUUUUGGAUUUUCUUUUUCUCUUUUUUUUGAUUUUUUGUUUUUGGUAAAUGAUGGGAAAGUGCAAAAUCUUUUUGAAUUUUUCAUUUUUAUUUUUUUGAUCUUUUUCUUGAAAACGUUGUGAAAGGAAAAACAUAAUUGGGCCCUACGUGCUUCAUUUUUACACUUCACCCUCUUUUCUUUCUCAUUUACCCUAAAACCGUCAUUGGUCCGCCAAAUGACCCUUUUACCCUUAAAAAAUACAGCAUGUAGCACAUGUGGAUGAUUAAAUAUCUUUUUGGGUCAUGGGCCCGUUUUGACAUAAUUUGGAUAGGCCUCCUAUAAAGAGACACGGUGCCUGGGACCGAGCCAUGCUAAGUGUAAAUGACAUGAUACAAAUAAGCAUGACCUAAAGGCUGACCUAAGUUUGGGGGUUCACAAGACAAGGCAAUUCGGGGCGGCAUGUGGUCGAUGGUGGCUGCUCUAGCUAUCCGCCCACUCCACGCUUCCACGCCACCCCCUAAGACAUGGAUGACUCACAAAAAGGCCGUGUACGCUCAAACGUACUCCGGAAGACUUGUUGCAGAAAGAAGACCCAUGGUUAUGCAAAUGAUGACUGUUAUAAAGCGGUAAACACAUAAGGAAACACGAUAAGCAAAUAACCAACAAAACAGGAAAUAAGAUUAAAAAAACUAAAUAAACAAAGCAAAUAAAGAAAACAAACACCUCAACUGAAUAUCCUAAAAGCCAACAAGAUUAAGAAUCAGCUUGAACCUGCAACUCCCUAGCAGAGUCGCCAAAGCUGUCACAUCAUUUUUUUUACCUCACUAACCCUCUUUAAAAAGAAUAAAAGGUGAUGUUUGAAGCUCAAAAGGGUUUUGCAAUUAGAAAGUGACAAAAAUUGUGUUUUAAAAGGUUAUUGAGAGUCGCCACCUGUCAUUUGGUUUCGGUGUGGCAGGUCACCGUUUUUAAAAUAAUAUUUUUUCUUCAAAACACAUUUGACUCUAAAACUGACUGCACUAGAAAUUUCAGGUAAGGGGGUUCAUUUGACUCGGGGAGAAGGUGUUAGGCAUUUCCCGAGUCCCGUAGCUAGUACGGUUGCAUACAUGAUCAAAUUGGCUUUAAAGGAUAUUCGAAUUAAGGCAAAAAAAAAAUACAAAAGAAAAAUAAACACACAAGAGGCUCGAGGUUGUCCCCGCCUAAAUAAAAGAAAGUAAAAUAAGAGGAAAAUACUAAAGUCUAUGAUAUGCUCACUCCACGAUAUCCGUCACGGCCUCCAGAUACAUUCACUUCGGGGCAUUCCCCUUAUAAAAAUAUUUAUAAAGUCUAUGGGGCAUUCCCCUUAAUUUAAACUAAAGGGAACGACCUCUCACCUUGAAUAAAAGAAAAGAAAAGACCUAAAGUUUGCCUACCCGAGUGUUGACGGUCUAAAAAUGCUACUAGCGAAUUAAUUAAAUAAAGUAAUAAAACGAUUAAGGCUAGUUGUUGUGCCAGAUUCAUGGUUAAAGUCCAACUCUAACUUUUAAUGUCAUUUCCAGAUGAUCCAAUUGACUCAAACAAUAAGGUUUAACCACCGACCAUACUAAUCAAUUCAAAAUGAUCCAAACAAAAUAAUUUCGUAUCCUAAAUACAAAACCACUGAAUUCAAACAUCAACUUCACUUAGUCUUAAAGUUACAUUCAAGCUCUAAAUCAACUAAUUAAAAAUACGAAUGAAAUAAAAUCUAAAGAAAAUUCCAAACCCAUGUGAAAUUCAUAUCAACAGAGUGCAUUCAGGGAAGAUAACACAAAUUCAUUCACACAAUAACAAACAAUAACAGAUUUAAGGCAUAAGAGUUAGAAAUGGACCUUUACUGGAUCUAUUAGUCAAAGAGAUAAGAGAGAACCUCAGGAGUCAAAAGCUCUUUGAAUCUGAAAAUGUUUUAACACCGAAAACCUUGGAUGGCGACAACCUCGAUGGGACCUCGUCGGAGAAACUCAAAUUCGAUGACGAACUCGAACUCUACUCGACCCAGAGGACACCGAAGCUCAAAGAGCAGACCAGAACUAUGCGUUCGGAUAUUUUUGAGUUGUGCAGUAUAAUUUUUAAACUUGCUGCUCUGUUUUUGUUGUGAUGAAGUGGAACAAAAUAUAGUUACAGUACUUAGGUGAUUCACGGGGGAGAGAGGGUUAAGAAUCGAUGGUUAUGGGUGAAACAGUGGUGGGUGUUAGUGAAUUCACAUGGUAUUAAACUAAGGAAAAUGAAGAAUGAUGUAGUCUCAUGGAGAAAACGAUUGGUAAGGAUUGGGCGAGCUACAACCCUAGGGAUUUCUCCACAGUUUUCUUUCUUUUUUUUCCUCUGUCCGUGUUCUCUCGAUGGCUGCUUUAGAAUGGAGGAGUU
rnacentral:lncRNA from 1 species